CCUACGGGCGGCUGCAGUGGGGAAUAUUGGACAAUGGGCGAAAGCCUGAUCCAGCCAUGCCGCGUGUGUGAAGAAGGCCUUCGGGUUGUAAAGCACUUUCAGUGGGGAAGAAAGCCUUGGGGCUAAUACCCUCGAGGAAGGACAUCACCCACAGAAGAAGCACCGGCUAACUCCGUGCCAGCAGCCGCGGUAAUACGGAGGGUGCGGGCGUUAAUCGGAAUUACUGGGCGUAAAGCGCGCGUAGGCGGUCUGAUAAGCCGGUUGUGAAAGCCCCGGGCUCAACCUGGGAACGGCAUCCGGAACUGUCAGGCUAGAGUGCAGGAGAGGAAGGUAGAAUUCCCGGUGUAGCGGUGAAAUGCGUAGAGAUCGGGAGGAAUACCAGUGGCGAAGGCGGCCUUCUGGACUGACACUGACGCUGAGGUGCGAAAGCGUGGGUAGCAAACAGGAUUAGAUACCCCAGUAGUC
rnacentral:rRNA from 1 species